UACGUAGGGUGCAAGCGUUAAUCGGAAUUACUGGGCGUAAAGCGUGCGCAGGCGGCUUUGCAAGACAGAUGUGAAAUCCCCGGGCUUAACCUGGGAACUGCAUUUGUGACUGCAAGGCUAGAGUACGGUAGAGGGGGAUGGAAUUCCGCGUGUAGCAGUGAAAUGCGUAGAUAUCGAGAAGAACGCUCGCAGCGAAGGCGAAGCUCUGGGCAACAUCUGACACUGAUGCACGAAGGCUAGGGGAGCAAACGGG
rnacentral:rRNA from 1 species